ensembl:lncRNA
UAGAGACCAUCCUGGCCAACAUGGUGAAACCCCAUCUCUACUAAAAAUACACAAAAUAGCUAGACGUGGUCCCAUGUGCCUACAGCCCCAGCUACUUGGGAGGCUGAGGCAGAGGCAGGAGACUACAGUAGCUGGGACUACAGGGUGCGCUGCCGCGCCCAGCUAAUGUUUGUAUUUUUAGUACAGACAGGGUUUCACCAUGUUGGCCAGGCUGGUCUUGAAUUCCUGACCUCAGGUGAUCGCCCACCUCGGCCUCCCAAAGGGCUGGGAUUUCAGGCAGGCGCCACUGCUCCCUCUCCAUGCCCUCUUUCCCUGCACGACCCUCUUCUUGUUUUGAAAAAUGGUUGGCUGUUUUAAGUAGGCGCUCCAUCUGAAUGUCCGCCAUCUUCCUGACCACCUGAAAAAAGGCUGAACUUUAUUUUAAGAACUACAAAAUCCAGUUUGAAGGAGGAUAUAAAGAUCAGAAGAAGGCCGGGUGGGGUGGCUCACGCCUAUAACCCAGCACUUUGGGAGGCCGAGGCGGGUGGAUCACGAGGUCAAGAGAUCGAGACCAUCCUGGUCAACAUGGUGAAACACCGUCUCUACUAAAAAUACAAAAAUUAGCUGGGCAUGGUGGCACAGCCUGUAGUCCCAGCUACUUGGGAGGCUGAGGCAGGAGAAUUGCUUGAACCCAGGAGGCGGAGGUUGUGGUGAGCCGAGAUCGUGUCAUUGCAUUCCAGCCUGGUUAACAAGAGCGAAACUCCGUCUCAAAAAAAAAAAAAAAAAAAAAAUCAGAAGAAAUAUAGCACAGUAGUCCUCUAGGGUUGCUUGGGUUUAACAUCCAGUUCUUACUAUAUGACCUCUGGUACAUUACUCAAGCUCUCUGUGCUUUAAUUUAAGCAUUAAAAAAAAAUAUUGUUAUUAUUUUUCUGACCAGGCCCAGUGGCUCAUGCCUGUAAUCCCAGCACUUUGGGAGGCUGCGGCAGGUGGAUCACCUGAAGUCAGGAGACUGAGACCAGCCUGGCCAACACUGUGAAACCCUGUCUUUACUAAAAAUACAAAAAUUAGCUGGGUGUGGUGGCAGGCUCCUGUAAUCCCAGCUACUUGGGAGACUGAGGCAGGAGAAUUGCUUGAACCCAGGAGGUAGAGGUUGCAGUUAGCUGAGAUUGUGCCAUUGUACUCCAGCCUGGGCGACAGGUCGAGACUCUGUCUCAAAAAAAUAAAUUGUUAUUUUUUUAAAGAUGAGGUCUUGCUAUAUUUCCCAGGCUGGUCUUGAACUCUUGGCCUCAAGUGAUCAUCCUGCCUCAGCCUCCCAAAGCGCUGGAACUACAGGUGUGAGCCCCCAUAGCCAGCCUCUGUACUUUAAUUUUCUUAUUUGUGAAAUGGGGAUAAUAACAGAACCUACUUCACUGGAUAGUUAUGAGGAUUAAAUGAGUUAGUUUAUAUAAAGCACUUAAAACAGUGCCUAGCUUAUAGUAAGUUGCAUUAGUCAUUAUUAUACCCUCAUAUGCGAAACCUUGUAUUUUCUUAAAAUCUCUGCCAAUGGAACUAAUUAUUUUAUUAGUGCAAUAUCCUUUCAAAUCCAGUCAGUAACUCAAAAGUAG